CUUUAAAGUUAAAAAAUUUGGCGGUAUUUUAGUCUUUUUAGAGGAACCUGCCCUAUAAUUGAUGAUCCACGAUUUAUUGUACUUGUUUUAAUUAGUUUGUAUAUCGUCGUAGGUUGAAUAUUUUAUGAGAAUUAUAAUGUUCAAGAUUCUUGUUAAGGAAAGAAAUCAGAUCAAGGUGCAGCUUAUAGAUGAGAAGAGGUGGGUUACAUUAAAUUAAUUUAUAUGGUUAAUUAUUUUAAAAAUAAUUAUUAAAGUGGAUUUAAAAGUAAUAAAUUUAAAUUUAAUUUUAUGAUUUUAGCUCUAAAAUAUGUACAUAUCGCCCGUCGCUCUCAUAUAAAGUGAGAUAAGUCGUAACAAAGUAGAUGUACUGGAAAGUGUAUCUAGUCUGUCAAAUUAGAGCUUGUUAUAAAGCUUUUUAUUUACAUUAAAAUGUUAGUUGUGAGAAUCAAUUUAAUGAGUGGUUAAAAUUAUUUGUUUUUAUUAAUUAAAGUAUUAUUUUAUUUAUUAUUGUUAAGGAAAAAUUAUUUUGAAUUAUAGUUUAAUAGUAUAGUGAUAGAAAUUUUAAAAUUUGAAAUUAAAUAUUUAUAUAAGAAGAGUUAAUUUUUCGUACCUUGUGUAUCAGGGCUUAUUAAAUAAAAGUUAUUUACUUAAUUUUCUCGAUUUUAAAAGAGCUAAGAAGUUAUUUAUUUUAUUGUUGAAUAAAUAUUUAAAAUAAUUUUUUUGUAGUGAAAUGUUAUUCGUUUUUAAAUAUAUCUAGUUUUUGAAGAAAAAAAUUUAAUUUUGAUUAUAAUAUUUGAAUUAAUUUUUUAAUAAAUUUAUUUAAUAUUAUUAUUAAUAACUUAAGGGAUAAGCUUUUAGUUAGAUUUAUAUAACAAAAGUUGUUUUAUAAAAAUGUAGGAUUAGAAAUUUUCAUCAUUUAAUUUGUUAUAAUUAAUUUAUUUGUAAAUAUGAUUUUGUGUAUGUUUAUGUUUUUUAUUCAAAUUAGUUAUUUAACUAAAUUUUAAUUGAAAUUAUGAUAAAAUUAGUAUAGGUUUAUUUAUCUUUAAUUUUUACUUUAAGGUUUAGUAAAGGAAUUCGGCAAAUUUAUUUCUCGCCUGUUUAAUAAAAACAUGUCCUUUUGGUUAUAAUUUAAGGUCUAACCUGCCCAUUGAAUUUUAAAAGGCCGCGGUAUUUUGACCGUGCGAAGGUAGCAUAAUAAUUAGUUUUUUAAUUGAAAGCUUGUAUGAAUGGUUGGACGAGGAAAUGACUGUCUCUAUUAAAAAUUUAGAAUUUUAUUUUUAAGUUAAAAAGCUUAAAUAUUUUUAAAAGACGAGAAGACCCUAUAGAGUUUUAUAAUUUAUUAUUAUUGUUAUUAUUAGAAUUAUAUAUAAUGAUAUUAUUCAAUUAUUUUGUUGGAGUGACCGAAAA
rnacentral:rRNA from 1 species